AUUGAACGCUGGCGGCAGGCUUAACACAUGCAAGUCGAGCGGGGUGAUGGUGCUUGCACUAUCACUUAGCGGCGGACGGGUGAGUAAUGCUUAGGAAUCUGCCUAUUAGUGGGGGACAACAUCUCGAAAGGGAUGCUAAUACCGCAUACGUCCUACGGGAGAAAGCAGGGGAUCACUUGUGACCUUGCGCUAAUAGAUGAGCCUAAGUCGGAUUAGCUAGUUGGUAGGGUAAAGGCCUAUCAAGGCGACGAUCUGUAGCGGGUCUGAGAGGAUGGUCACGCACACGGGGACUGGAACACGGCCCAGACUCCUACGGGAGGCAGCAGUGGGGAAUAUUGGACAAUGGGGGGAACCCUGAUCCAGCCAUGCCGCGUGUGUGAAGAAGGCCUUAUGGUUGUAAAGCACUUUAAGCGAGGAGGAGGCUCUUUUGGUUAAUACCCAAGAUGAGUGGACGUUACUCGCAGAAUAAGCACCGGCUAACUCUGUGCCAGCCGCCGCCGUAA
rnacentral:rRNA from 1 species